ensembl:lncRNA
AUAGAAGACAGCAUCAGUGUUAGAAGAAAAAGAUCCAUCGCUAAUUGGAAUUUUCUAGAUAAUUAAAGUAAUGAAUUGCUAGCCACAGGAUGAGAUAUGAAAAACCAGACCUUGAUAUGAGUUAGCAAAGACAAUAGAAAAAUUUGCUAAUAACUUAUUUCUCUCUUCUCAAGGUGGAAAGGUAAAAUGGUUGCCUGGGAAAUAAACUGUCCUGACCCGGAAGUGAGUGGUAAUGAGAAAGAGAUUGAGCGAGAGGAUGCUCUGUGGAGAAACUCACUGAGAGUAAUUUCACCCCACUCUGCCCAGAGCAACUGAGUGACUGAGCGACAACUUCAACCCUCUCUCCUUCCAACCUGCCCCUUGUACUGCAGCACCAGCCCUUUCACAGAGAGGUGUGAUCCCUCAAAACCCCCUGCUGUGAAGCAUCAAUCCCCCUAAACACACACCAUGCCUAUGUCCAAGUCCCACAUUUGGGAAGCUGGCACAUCUGGCUUGCAAUCAAUGUUAUGUACGCUUGCUGUCUUGAUGACGUCCAUCGCCUUGCACUGGAGUCUGCUGCGCUGUGGAAUGUCUGUUGGAGGGUUGUUAUCUUGUAUAUUGUAUUUAUAUCUCAUGAGUAUUCUCUCAUCCCCCACCCCUUUUUUUCUAUUUCUGAUUGUAUGGAAUAUGUUCCCCAUAUCUCAUGUUAUGUAAGACUCAGAUUCAAGGAUAAUGUUUGGAUUCUGCAGAAAUUUUAAUUUAACUAUGGUACAGAUUUGAUUUCAAUGGCAGCAUCCGAUAUCAUUGAUUACAGACAAUGACUUAAUGUGAAUCCAUGGAGAGUGAUUUGAAUGCCAACAGAAGUGCAGCAGUCUUAAGACGUUUAACCUUUGACAUGUUCUCUGUCACACUGUACUUCACUGUUUGGCCUGACAAUAUAUUUUCAGCUAUAGCUGUAGAUAAACACACUUCACUGCCUAACUGACUGUGAAAAAAAUAUAUUGCUACUUUCUGAACUAUAAGUGUGUCUUUAAAUAUCAUGUUAAAAUACAAUAAAAACUAUUAUCUCACCCUGGUUUGAAAAUAUGAAAGGUAUUUCGUGACACUGAAUUAAUCAAUUAAUAAAUUGCAGUGGAUUAUCAUGUACAUAUGCAUGGUAAGAGUAGCAUAAUCUCAAUGUUCGGUUGUCUUGUACUUUCAAAUGAAACUGCUUGAUCUCUUGAAAUUGUCUGGUGAGCGAAGGGGUAUGUAGCCUAACAGGCAAGUUUUACUAGUUAUUUGGCGCCCUCUGUUGCUGACAAAGACAAUUGUUUUUGUCAGUCAUGACAUUUUAUCACUCCCACCGAGGAGGGCUGUGGGUUAAUGUUGAGAUGAAAGUCUCAAAUGUUUGCAUUUCUAUUAAUGUUCAUAUUAGCAUAUUUUGCGGUUAGAUACCCCAAACACACAUUUCCUGUAAAUUGUGUGACAAAACAGUAAGUUAUAAGUCAGCUGUAAUGGGACAAGGACUUGGCACCAGAUACCUUUUUAGAUGGCACAAAAUACUCUAAUCACAAAUCACAUGGUACCAGGCAUAGAAAAAAGCUUAUGUAGUUGUUUGUAGCUAAAUUGAUUUAGGGUUAUCACGGUCGCUCACAUGACAGAACAUCAGCAGGAAGAAAUUAGAUCCCGAGAUCUCGUUGGUUUCAAAUGCUUGAAUCUGGGUCAGCCUGAUUUACUCAUUUUUAAGUCACCUAAUAUUUACAAUUUAUGUCAAGUGCUGAUUUGGGAUAUGAUUGAUGGCUGGAUAGGCCAAUCCUACUGUGGGCACAUACUUGCCACAUUAGGGAUAAGGAGAAGAUCGCAGAUAAGCUAUUGUGCUGUUACAAAGAGGACCAAAAUUAAAACAAAAUGUCAAGACUAUACCAAAAAAGCAGACAUGGGUGAAAUUUGGAUGUCUCCUCUUCCUGACCAAAUUUGGUGAAGUUGUGCUAACAAUCAUUUAGACAUCAUGAAAAGUAAUCCAUCCUUCCUAUCUAUCCCUCAGAUGUCAAAAUGAUUGACAGCAUUGGCUUUAUACCUCACAAAGCUGACUGACCAAUGAGAUGAGGGAAAGAUUCAAAAGCCUAGACCACAGUCUGAUCACUUUCACUUGUACUUACUAUGGAUGUUUCACACAAAUCCAUGUUUGCUUAUGUAAAAGAGUAAAAAAUGAAAUACUCCAUUGUGUUUGCUGCUUAUUCUAUGGCAUUGGGUUUGGAUACACCUCCACCUUAGAGCCUGCCAAGCUUUUUGUAACACUAACUGUGAAGCUGGUAACAUUUGUACAGACUGCAUACCCAUGUACUUAAAAUGCAUAUUGUAAUAAUAACAAAUAACCUAAUUCCAUAGUAUGUAUCUGUAGCAUAGACUUAAUGGUCUUUUAUAUUUUCCAAGCUUUUAAUAGUAUGAUACAGAAAAC